UCCUCCUUAAUGUUACCACCACCCUCAUCCCCUAGAUCUUUCAUCAUCAAAGCUGCCGCCCUCUGCUACUAGCGCUGGAAGAACCCCCACCACUGCCCUCUUCCUCCUUUCCUCCUCUUCGAACUCUCUACUCUCCCCCUACUCUCCUCUGCCAUCUUCUCUGCCACUCCCCCCCUCCCCUCUUUCCUCUGCUCCACUGCCCACCACCUUUGCUCC
rnacentral:lncRNA from 1 species